UAUAUAAUAUAUGAGAAUAAAUCAUAGUGGAAUUAGAUCUCACAAGGAACAAAAUAAUCAUCUUCGUUUUAGAAAGAUCAAGAUCCGUAGACCCACAUAUAUAUGCUUAGCCUCCUUGCAAAGCCAACCAACUCCCUGUACUUAUGGAACAUCAAACACUCACUGACUCACACCAUUAGGAGUUAGUUUAUUUAAACUGCACAUGUUUUCGUCUUCAUUCACAUUUUAAAUGUUUCUAUUCAAGUGCAAUUUGCAUUCACCUCUGUAAUUUUGUAAUCAAGUGCAGACAUUAUCUUUUUUUUUUUUUUUAGAUUUACGUUUGAAUUAACAAACCAAAAAUUUACAUGUAUUUUUCGCUUAGAUCGAUCCAUUUACAGAUACCUAC
rnacentral:lncRNA from 1 species